GAGGGUACAGCUUAGUGGUAGAGUGCUUGCUUAGCAUGCGCAAGUUCCUGGGUUCAGUUCCCAGUAACCCCA
rnacentral:tRNA from 1 species